UACGUAGGGACCAAGCGUUGUUCGGAUUUACUGGGCGUAAAGGGCGCGUAGGCGGCGUGGUAAGUCACUUGUGAAAUCUCUGAGCUUAACUCAGAACGGUCAAGUGAUACUGCUGUGCUAGAGUGCGGAAGGGGCAAUCGGAAUUCUUGGUGUAGCGGUGAAAUGCGUAGAUAUCAAGAGGAACACCUGAGGUGAAGACGGGUUGCUGGGCCGACACUGACGCUGAUGCGUGAAAGCCAGGGGAGCAAACGGG
rnacentral:rRNA from 1 species